rnacentral:rRNA from 1 species
UACGUAGGGACCAAGCGUUGUUCGGAUUUACUGGGCGUAAAGGGUGCGUAGGCGGCGUGUCAAGUCAGUUGUGAAAUCUCUGAGCUUAACUCAGAACGGUCAACUGAUACUGUCAUGCUAGAGUGCAGAAGGGGCAAUCGGAAUUCUUGGUGUAGCGGUGAAAUGCGUAGAUAUCAAGAGGAACACCUGAGGUGAAGACGGGUUGCUGGGCUGACACUGACGCUGAGGCACGAAAGCUAGGGUAGCAAACGGG